rnacentral:rRNA from 1 species
GACGUAGGAUGCAAGCGUUGUCCGGAUUUAUUGGGCGUAAAGAGUUCGUAGGUGGUUUGUUAAGUCUGAUGUUAAAGACUGGGGCUCAACCUCGGAAAGCAUUGGAUACUGGCAGACUUGAGUGUGGUAGAGGCAAUCGGAAUUCCAGGUGUAGCGGUGAAAUGCGUAGAUAUCUGGAAGAACACCGGUGGCGCAAGCGGAUUGCUGGGCCUAACUGACACUGAGGAACGAAAGCGUAGGGGAGCAAAUGGG